GACGAACGCUGGCGGCGUGCCUAACACAUGCAAGUCGAGCGAGUGAAUCUCCUUCGGGAGUGAAGCUAGCGGCGGACGGGUGAGUAACACGUGGGCAACCUGCCUCAUAGAGGGGAAUAGCCUUCCGAAAGGAAGAUUAAUACCGCAUAAGAUUGUAGCUUCGCAUGAAGUAGCAAUUAAAGGAGCAAUCCGCUAUGAGAUGGGCCCGCGGCGCAUUAGCUAGUUGGUGAGGUAACGGCUCACCAAGGCGACGAUGCGUAGCCGACCUGAGAGGGAGAUCGGCCACAUUGGGACUGAGACACGGCCCAGACUCCUACGGGAGGCAGCAGUGGGGAAUAUUGCACAAUGGGGGAAACCCUGAUGCAGCAACGCCGCGUGAGUGAUGACGGCCUUCGGGUUGUAAAGCUCUGUCUUCAGGGACGAUAAUGACGGUGCCUGAGGAGGAAGCCACGGCUAACUACGUGCCAGCCGCCGCCGUAA
rnacentral:rRNA from 1 species